CAAAGCUGUAAUAAGGUAAGUGAACACUUGAUGCUGUUUUGACUUUAUUCAUAUAUAUAAUUAGAUAUUAUUUACUUAUCAAUCGAAUGUAUGCAGUAAUUCAAACAUGUUGAUACCAUUGUUAAUGUUUAUUCGUGAUAUAAUUUAUAUAAAAAAGACAUACUCCUUCAUGCUAGGACAUUAUAAUUGCAUAUCGUUAGAAUAGUUUCCUCCCGGGGAUAUUUAGAUAUAAUCCGUUAAACUGACAAUAGUGGAGCUUACCAAUUAUGCAGUUGUUUUUUGACGCAUAUUCCGCAUCUAAAAUGUCUAUUAUCACUGAAUUAGUUUACAUUUUUGUUUAGCGGCCAGCUGAAGCACAUCUCGGGGUGCAGGAUUUUCUCGAUGUAUUGCAGACCCGUUUGUGGUCUUUGUCUGUUGUCUGCUCUUUGGUCGGUUUGUUGUCUCUUUGACACAUUCCCCAUUUCUAUUCUCAAUUUUAAUAGAUUUAAGCUUAUAAAAUCAAAUUUGAUAAUCCAUCAAAAUAAAAUAAACAAUAAAAAUAUCUAUUUCUAUUUUUAAAAUUCUUACACUCAUUAUGUCAGCCAUCAACAUUUAAACUCGAGUCUGUAAUUGAAAGGCUGUUGUUGGUUGCUGUCUUUCAUGUUUGUUUUUGUUAAUUUGUUCUUCUCAUAAAUUAGGGAGUUUUUUCCUCUGAAUGUUAUUCACACAUUGUUUUUUUCGGGACUUUUAUAAAUGACUCUAUGAUAUGGCAUUAGUUAAUACAUAUUAGUCUUAAACGGACAUUUGUACCAUAACGUCCUUUCUGAACACUGCCUGAUCCAGUCAUGUGAAUGUCUUUUUUCAACUUUUUUUAUUUUUUCAGUGGGGUAAUAAGAAAAUUAGCUUUCAUCAAUUCAGUACUUUUUGGUAGCUUUUCAGACAUUUCGGUAUGAUGUUAAUGUUAACAGUUGACUACCAAAUACAGAACAGUCUGAACAAAGACUUAGCAAAUCUGGACUUACUGUACGAGAAUUGUCUAAAUAGUACUGCAAAAAUUCUGAAAAUUUACCUAAAGACUGAAGGUUACUCAAUGAUUUAUUUUCUUUUAAAAGCUGUACAAGUUACUAAAAUGGUGUUUUCAAGUGUCGAUUUAUAGAUAUUGUGAGGACUACAGCGACUAAUACCAGCGUAAAUCCACUUAACUUAGACUUCUGUGGAUAAUCCGCUUAGAAAUAAUGUCAAUAAAGCAUAGACAUUUUAAUUUUAGUGCAAUGUAGGCUGAAUUAUCUACAACUGUUAAAUUCAAGGAAAUAUUUUACGACUCUUUUUUGUAUGCAACCGGAUGUGACGAACUAUGAUUCGAUGGCAAUAAAGCUGUAUCACACCUUACAGUAAAGCUGUUUAUAAAGCCUCAUAAUGUUUAUGCGAUACAAGUAAACCUAUUGACUCUUUGAAUCAACCUAUUUUGAAAGGAUUCUUUUUUCUUUCUGUAGAGAGAUCUUAAAUUAUCGUUUUAUUGGUACUACAAUUUGAGAUUGUUUUAUUAUGAAUUGCUAUUGUUUUAUAGGUAUUAACUCAUAUGGUCCUACAUUAUACCAAUAGUGUGUGAUUAUAUUUUGGCAUUGCAGAAGUUCAUGCUUUUAGUUGACUUUUAUAUACUGAAUCUGUUGAACAUGUUUUAAGUGUUAAAUAAGUCUAGGAGGACCAGAUUUAUUAAUUUAUUGAAAAUGGCUUUUGAACUGGUUUUAAGUAACUGUGAGUACUCUGAGACCGGUAUUUGUGUUGCAUUGUCCUAAUAUUAGUUGUUGGUUGGUAAUUAUUGCCAAUCUGUUUGGUGAUGUUAUUUUGAACUGAAGUUUACAGCUAACUAUUAAGCGUUGUGACACAACUGCUCGAAGGUUAAAGCUAUGAUUGAGCGCCAAUUGACAGGUUAAGCACCGCCACAUUCUUCAUGUGCUAAUCGGAAAUCGGGAGAAAGUAAUUCUUUGGUGCUACGUUGUAUACAUAUAACUUUUAUAACUGACUAUAUGGACGAAAUGUGCUUACAGUUGACCUUUAUUUGCUUCAUCCAUGUCAUUUGGAUUCUGUUGGAUAGUUAUGUCUUUGAGAAACAUAUCAAAAUAAAUUCAUCAUAGAUACAUGUACAUGUACAAGGAUUCAAGUUUUAUAUUUGCGCCAGACGCGUUUUCUCUACAAAAGACUACUCAAUGCAAUGACGUUCGAAUAAAAGAAUGGAAAGGCCACAUAUAGAACGAAGUUUAAGAGCAUCAAGGGGAAAAAAAUCCUUAAAGUUUUGCCAAAUUCAGCUACGGUCAUCUAUUUCUGAGGUAGAAAAGCCUUUGUAUUUCAAAAUUUCGAAGUUUUGUAAACAGGUUACGUACAAGUAUAACAAUACCAAUGACAAUCAAUGUCAACACACCUGUGCUGUCUACUACCUUAAAUUUAUCUAUUUUACAAAUAUCAAAUCUAUCAAAUUAAUAUCGAUAUGAAAUUUUGCACAACAAAUAUUAUUCGAUUUUGCUGUUUGUCGAUCUCUGUGAUAGGAACAAUGCGUUUAAUACAAACACCCUUACAUAAACAGCAAAGAUGAAAUUAAUAUUGAAAAGAUAUAUAUAUAUAGACAAUAGUAGUAUACAACUGUUCAAAAGUCACAAAUCGAUAGAGAGAACAUAAACUAAAACUGAGGGAAAUACAUCAACUAUAAGAGGAAAAUAACAAAACAACAGAAACACUGAAGUGCAACAAAACAAACGACAAUGCAACAUAGAAACGAGCUAUUAAUUAACAACUGUCAUAUUCCUGACUUGAUACAGGAAAUUUUAAGACAAUUGGUGGGUUGAACAUGAUUUUGUGGCUAGCCAAACCUCGCGCUUUUUGGCUAUGGUAAAUAUGCCGCUACAAUAACAACAUUACAUACAAUGCAAAUAAAUGCAAGAACACUCAUGACAGGGAAAUACAUAAAUAGAUAAUAUAAUAUUACAUUUCAAUAUAAAAUUGAAAACAUGUCGGAAAAACAUUGUUACAGACACACCUUCUUUUCAAAUAAUAAGGUUUCUAUAUUGAUGAUUUUCUCUCACUAAAUAAUUCUAAGUUUGAUGACUAUGUCAAUCAAACUUUAGAUAAAGGAUACAACAGAUACAGUUAAGUUUACCUCAUAUCUUUAAGUUAACUUGCAUCUUCAAAAUGACAAUAAGGGUCGGUUGAAAUGAAAGCUUUACGACAAAAGAGAUGAUUUUAGUUUCACAAUUGUGAACUUUCUUUUUCUAUGUAGCAACAUUUCAUCAGCGACUAAAUAUUUGUCUCGCAGUUGAUACAGUAUUCAAGGACUGGUAUUUCUUAUCAUGAUUUCCCUGAUAGGUUGUUGCAGCACACAAUAAUUGAAUUAAACAGAGCGUUCAAAGUGGUUAAGUUGGAAUAAUUCAUUCGAAAAAAUUACGGACGCCAUCACGAGCAACUACAAUCCCGUCCCCUCUUCCCCGAAUACUAUUACCGAAUUAAAACUAAAUUCAGGUUACAUAGAUUAGUUAUAUAAGAUGUGUAUUCGAUUCAUUUGUUAUUCGUCAGCUGAAUUCUAUGUAAACAGUUUGAAGGCCAAAAAUAAUUACGUAAACAGUGUUGAUAAUUCCAAGUUAAACCAAAUAUUACUCAGACUAUAUGUGCAUGGGAUAGAACAACGUAGUGUUUAGAAUGCGUUUGGUGUGUUUUAAAAAUAGAAUUUUAGAAUAUGUCUUCAUCAAUGAUAUGUUACGUCAACACAGGAGCUCCAACUUGGUUGCUUAAAUGGUCCACCAGCAGAAGUGUCGAAACAGUAGUUGAAAACGUUUUAGAAAGAAACAAGGCUUAUAAUUAAGCAUUGUAUAUAACAUAGUAUUAGAAUGAUUUGUGAUGUUCCAUUUAAUUAAUUUACUGUGUUGAAAGUGGUUUGUACAUGUAUAAUUGUUACAAUUACCAUGAUCGUGCAAAGUAAAAUAUAUUUUUUAUAACCGUAAUCCUUAUAUUUUAGGAACUCUUCAACAUGAAUAAUACAGCCCUACUGUUUGUUCUAAUUGUUUUUGCAGUAGGUAAGAACAUAUCUUUCUAAAAAAAGAUUCAAUAUGCUAUAUACCUUCGGUGCUUACUUAACUUGACCUUAAACAAAAGGAAAACAUCAUGCCAUUCGUGUUUAGCGGUAUUAACAAUAACACAAGCAGAGCGUGAAGCUCUACAUAACAGCAACACAUCGAUACACAAAUUAACUCGUACAUUAAUAUAACUAUAAAAUUAUACAAUGUGUCUGAAACUGCUGAUUUAUAUUUCUGUAUUAUGUAGAAUUGUCAUACAGAUAAAAUAUAACUUAUGGGAGGACUACGUCUUUCACUUAUAAAUGUUUAGUUAUUGAAAGCGUUUCAUCCCAAAGCUGACUGUACGAUUUAUCACGACUAUUGGCUACGUUAAAUGAAAAACAUUAUCUGCUGGUUUUCGACGUAUAUUUGAAUGAAUCUUACAUGUUGAUGACAAGGGCUUGCAGUACAAAUUAUCUUCAUAUCAUUUAAUCGUUUCCUUAUGUAGAAAAUAAUAGAUGAAACGUGUUUGUAUAGCGUAUAAUCGCUUUGUUAUCAAGAGACAACUAGGACAUACAAUCCAAUAAUCUUCUUAUUUUCUUAAAAAAAAAAAAAAUACCAUGAUCAUUGUUGUUUUUUGAUACAUUCUUGUAUGAUUGAAAUUUCGAACGCCUGUUUAAUUAUUUCAUUUAUAACUAUGUUACUAAUAUGCAUCCCUUACACGAAAAUCAAAGUUUCCUUAGAUUUCAUAUGAUUUAUGAAUUGUUUUUAAUUUUCAUUUGCAUUCUUUUGUCAUAAAAAUUUAAAAACAUGCGUGGAAAUGGACCUUGUGGCAGAUACACUUUGUCAAAAGCAUAUAUUGGUAUUUCUUUGGAAUAUUUAUUUCAAAAAAAAGUCUGGUGUUUUCGUCUCAUUUGUUCGUUGACUGUCAUCACAGUUUCUGCGUUCAAAUGAACGUGAACAUAAUUUUGUAGAACUUUCUGUAUAUUUAUUGGCUAUGGAUUUACACAUUAGAACUGUAAAACGAUUGCAUGUUCCAAUAAAUCCUUUGUAAUUCUUUGUUAUUGUUCUGCAAAUUCUACCGCGAAUUAAUUUUAUUGCAAAAAUUGUCCGUAUUCUAAAUAAUUAAGAGGGCACCACGGUUAGAACAAGUUGAACCGUGUGAUGCUGCACUAACUAACUUCGUAUUACAAUUACUAAUAAACAUUUUACUAUAUAGUUUCUUUUUAUAGUAUCUACAAUUAUCUUCUUGUGUUACGAUUUUAAUUAGAAAUCAAGAAAAUAAAAUUAAAUCAAUUUGAAAUGACAAUAUUAUAAAAAAAAACAAAUAUGUAAUAAUCGUGUUAAUUUUUGUUUUCGAAUAGGUGUAAAAGAGUCUAUUCAACAAGGGAAAUGUACCGUCGAAUUCUGUACAACCAUUAAAAACAGCGCUGGUUGUAAUGGAUGUUGUAUUGGUCUGGGAUGUAGUGGUGGUGGACAAUGCAGUGUUCUGAGUGGAGUAUCUGCCUGUCAUUGUGAUGGGUGUACUUGUAAGGCAUUGUAUUUAACUAAUUAAUACAUGACCACGCUAAACUUGACAAUUCUCAGUCGGAAAUUAAAUUUUUCAUUUCCAUUUUGACAUUUCUUUUACAAUUCAAUCAACAGGACUUUACCAUUAUCAAAUUCUGAUGAAUCGACGAAAACGAAUAACAAACAAAGACUAAUGGAAUCCCAGUAACUUUAAAAGUAGUGAGAACGAGUACAUCAACAGAAUAAGCGCUUUCUGCUAUGCAGGCAUUCCCGUCAUACACAUCCACACACAUUUAAAAUGUAUGAUACAGCCUGUACAAUGAUAGAUAAUAUCACUACUCUACUAUCUAAAAAUAUAAAGUUACGAACAUAUGUCGCUAGAGAGAUUUAAUACAUAUGUACCAUUAUGGGUCGUUAACUUGAGUGUGUCGAUUGCAGUUUAUAACUGUAUUGGACAAAUGAUAGACAUUAAACACGGAAUGAAUAGUUACAUUUAAAUGAUAAAAGAUUUAAUUAGGAGCACUAUGAGUUAGUUUUGUUUCCGAUUAUUUAAAAGCUCGAUAAUUUAACUUUAAGAAGAUUGAUACAUUAAUUUAUUAGAAUGUCCCAAUGGAACUCAAUUAAACACCAUUUGUUACACAAUAACACAGAUAUAAGAAGGAGCGGUAUGAGAGCCAAUGAGACAAGUAGCCAUUCAAGUCACAAUUUCAAAAAAGUAAAUCAUUACUAUGCUCACAAUGAACAGCUAGAUAUACAAGGGCCCCAAAAUAACAAGUGCAAAACCAUUCAAACAGAAAAACUAACGGUCUAAUCUAUAUAAAAACGAGAAACGAGAAAAAGUUAUGAACCACAUCAUGAAACGACAACUACUGAACAUCAUAUUCCUGAAUAAGAACAGGUGCAAAUAAUUGCAGCUGGUUUACAUUGAAAGACACACUAUAAAAUAUAAAUUGAAAUGGCUUAUCUCAAUCAAAAGAAAUAUUAACACAAGCAAACAUACACUUAACGAAAAAAUUUGAUCUAUGAUACCAUGUUAUUACAAAAUCAAUAAAAUAAGGUAUGAAUAAUUAAAGUAACAGUUUUAUACCUCUGUGAAAUGGUGACAUGUUAAACACUACAGAAAAACAACAAACCCUUGAACAAACGUCAUUUUGCUUUCAUAGCCAAACCAGUACCUCAUGAGACGUGUACAAGCACAUUCUGUUCUAAUGAAAAGCUCGAUGAUAACGGAUGCAAAGGUUGUUGUUUAAGUAUGCUAAAUGGUUGUGCCGCCUCCGGAUUUUGCCAAAAUUCACAUUGUAAAUGCAAUGUCUGUGCGGUAAGUAUUUUAUUAUCAGUAGUGACAUGUCUACAGAAGACAAUGCCUUUACCAUGUCAGGACAUGAACAUGUUUUAAACGAUAUAUUUGAUGCUACUGUCAUACAAGUGAGAGGAUAAGCUAGCUAUAAAAACAGGUUUAAUCCACCAUUGUCUACAUAGGAAAAUGCCGAUACCAAGUAAGGAAUAUGCCAGUUGUUAUCCAUUCGAUUGAUUUAUUAGUGCUUUUAACUUUGCCAUUAGCUAAAGAACUUUCAGUUUAAAAUUUUCCUUGGAGUUCGGUAUUUUUGUUAUUCUACUUUUUUCUAUGAAAUUUAAAAGAAUAUCGAAAGAUAUCUGAGGGACAGUCAAACUUAUAGAUAGAAAAUAAAUUAACAACGUCAUGGCUAACAAAGAAAAAGUCACAGACAAAUAAUGUGACUGUUCAUGACGUUAAAAUACUUUAAUCCCUGGGAUGUGUUUUAGUUGAUUUUAGUCUCUGAUGCAGGGUUUUUUUUUUAUUAUUAAUUGUUUUUGGCUUUUAACUAUCUGUCAGUAACUGCGAUACUCUCAAAUCGUAUUUUCUUGUUAAUUCGACCGUUGAUACUAUUUAAUGCUUUUUUGUAUUUUAAUUUAUAUGGAUCUUGUCUAAUACCAGCUUUGAUUAUUUGGAUAAAUGCUAAGUUCACUUCUUCUUACUAUAUUUGAAAUAAACUCAAGAUUUACCUGUAUUUUUAAAACCGUUUUUUUUUCUAAAAGUGAAUAUUUCGAAGGGUUAAUAUUCGCAGUAUGACUUGCCAUGGCUUUGUUUGACUUGUUUGUUGCUUUUUGGCCUUGAAUGGUUGUCCCUUAUAUUUUAUUAACUGUGCAUUUGCAUUCAGAUAUCGCAGAUCAAAUGUAUUCGUUUAUAGUGUAUUAAUGUACGUUUUUUUGAUUGCGUUAAGCCUGCAAAUUGAUAUUUUAUAGUGUGUUUUUCUAUGUUGUGAUUUUAAUAUGCUAUUGUUUCAGAAAAAGGGAGAAGGUUUGGAUCCUUUAAAACGUUUAAUCCCGCUGCAAAUGUUUGCACCUGUCCUAAAUCAGGAAUCUGGUGUACAGUAGUUGUCGUUUGUUUAUGUAAUUAUACGUGUUUCUCGUUUCUCGUUUUUAUUUUUAUUUUAUAUAGAUUAGACCGUUGGUUUUCCCGUUUGAAUGGUUUAACACUAGAAUUUGGGCCAGUAUAGCUUGUUGUUCGUGUGAGCCAAGGUUCCGUGUUGAAGACCGUACAUUGACCUAUAAUGGUUUACUUUUUUAAAUUGUUAUUUGGAUGUAGAGUUGUCUCAUUGGGACUCACACCACAUCUUCCUAUAUCUAAAUAAUAGUACACAAGACACAACAUAUAAAACUAAAGAUUAAGCAACACUAACCCCACCAAAAUUUAAGGUGAUCUCAGGUGCUCCGGAAGGGAAAGCAGAUCCGGCGCCACACGUGGCACUUGUCGUGUUGCUUAGUUUAUUACAAACCCAGUAAAUAAUCUAAUUAUGUAGCAAAAUUGGAAACGUGGAAUAUGUCAAAGUGACCACAACCCGACCAAAGAUAUGUUUAAACUUUUUUCAAUACUCCUUCAAUGUUAUCUUCACCAUCCUUUUUAACAAUUGCACGAAAUCAUAAAAAGUCCUCUUUAUAAUUCACUAUGAAAUAUUAGAUUUACAUUAUCAGAUGACCGUUAAUAUAAGGAUAUAUCAUCUUAUAGCAUAUAUAACUGUGCAUAUUGAAGAAUUACUGCUAGUUACAUUUUCCCAACGGAGGACCAACAAUGUCCAAUUAGGUAUCAUUAUUUUUUUAUUUUUUUUUUAAAUCAGAUUUGGGACAAAUUGAUUACAUUUGUUGUUUAUUGGCUUUGGAAAAUGUUGAUGUUUAAACACUUAUUUUAGCAUACAAAGUUUAUUUGAGAUUUUCUUUAUUGGAAAAAAAUGUAUAAUGUCAUUUUAGAGACAACAAGAACCAGAACCAGGAAAAGGAAAAGGGAAAGGAAAGGGAAAAUAAAGAGUUCAAGAUUCGUUAAAACGUAUAGACAUCCAGAUUUCAAAACAGGCUCUCAACAAAUGGUUUACUUUUAUAAAUUAUUAUUUGGAUGGAGAGUUGUCUCAUUGGCACUCACACCACAUCUUCCUAUAUCUAUGAUUAUGUUACAGUGAAUAUGUAUAAUUAAGGAAUUUAUAUAAUCCCGGAUAUUUGUUUAUGAAUAGUGAGUAUAUAUAAUCACCAAAAUUUCAGGAAUCCUGCGUAAUCAAUAGAAAAUGUCAAGG
rnacentral:lncRNA from 1 species